AGAACGAACGCUGGCGGCAGGCCUAACACAUGCAAGUCGAACGCUGCAGCAAUGCAGAGUGGCAGACGGGUGAGUAACGCGUUGGAACCUUCCCAGUGGUACGGAAUAGCUCAGGGAAACUUGAGGUAAUACCGUAUAAGCCCCUAGGGGGAAAGAUUUAUCGCCAUUGGAUGGGCCCGCGUCGGAUUAGCUAGUUGGUGAGGUAACGGCUCACCAAGGCAACGAUCCGUAGCUGGUUUGAGAGAAUGACCAGCCACACUGGGACUGAGACACGGCCCAGACUCCUACGGGAGGCAGCAGUGGGGAAUCUUGGACAAUGGGCGCAAGCCUGAUCCAGCCAUGCCGCGUGAGUGACGAAGGCCUUAGGGUUGUAAAGCUCUUUUGGCGGGACGAUAAUGACGGUACCCGCAGAAUAAGUCCCGGCUAACUUCGUGCCAGCAGCCGC
rnacentral:rRNA from 1 species